ensembl:ncRNA T07C12.17 ncRNA
GAGAUCACAUCAAGAGCACAAGAUAUGUUUGUUUCUUCUCUUAACACAUCACUUAUCCUCUAGAAAAGUCUUUCGAAAGUGCUUAUCUCACGGCGAAAGAGUUCGCA